CCUGCCCAUUGAAUUUUUUGAAAGGCCGCGGUAUUUUGACUGUGCAAAGGUAGCGUAGUAAUUAGUUUUUUAAUUGAAAGCUUGAAUGAAAGGUUGAACAAAGAAAAAGCUGUCUUUAAUAUUUCUCUUAAACUUUACAUUUAAGUGAAAAGGCUUAAAUAAAUUUAAGGGACGAUAAGACCCUAUAAAUCUUUACAUUUAUUUGUUUAUUUAUUUUAUUAGAAAAAAAUAAUUAAAAUGCAAAAACAUGUUGUAUUGGGGUGAUAGGGAUAUAAAAAUAUUUAAACUGUCUUUAAUAUUAAACAAAUAUAAUUGAUUAACAAAGAGAUCCUCUAAUGGAGAUUAGAAGUUUAAGUUACUUUAGGGAUAACAGCGUAAUUUUUUUUGAGAGUUCUUAUCGAAAGAAGAGUUUGCGACCUCGAUGUUGAAUUAAAAUUUUCUUUGUGGUGCAGAAGUCAUAAGAGGAAAGUCUGUUCGAC
rnacentral:rRNA from 1 species